rnacentral:rRNA from 1 species
UACGUAGGGGGCAAGCGUUGUCCGGAAUCAUUGGGCGUAAAGCGCGUGUAGGCGGUUACGUAAGUCUGCUGUGAAAGUCGGAGGCUCAACCUUCGAAAGCCGGUGGAUACUGCGUGACUAGAGUACGGAAGAGGCGAGUGGAAUUCCCGGUGUAGCGGUGAAAUGCGCAGAUAUCGGGAGGAACACCAAUUGCGAAGGCAGCUCGCUGGGACGUUACUGACGCUGAGACGCGAAAGCGUGGGGAGCAAACAGGG